AUUUAUUCCAACUAGUGGUAGGUUUUUGCAUGUUUUGCUUUUGAUUUCAUAAUUAGAGCUACUUCAUUUUUUGUUCUUUCGGCUUGAUGGAUUUAACAAUGUAUAUACAAGUACAGAAUUUAACUUGGAGGAAAAAUUGAUUCCAUGCCCGAGCACAGGCACGAUAGUGAUGGAGACUUAACUCUCAUCUUGUUGAAAAAAAAAAAAAGACCAUCAAUGGAGGCAAGGUGUCAUGCCUUAGAGGAGAUUUCACAACCCUCGGACGGGCCCUUCAAAGUUAUCCCAUUGCGCAAGCCUAGAGGAUACAGUUCAAGUCACAUUACGUCUGAGCACAAGAACUCUCGUCUUCCUAAUUUUGGAUUCUCCCAUUCGAGGUUAUCAUGAGAUGGUAAUACUUCAGUCCUUGGUAACGCCUGCUCGAGCCAAGGCUAUACCCUGAGGGUAAACUUCCUGCUACACUUCCUUCUUUUUGUUUAAGUUUAUUCUUUCAAGUAUGCCUAACAGUCAUCUAUCAUUUUGUUUCUUUGCCUAUUAGGUGGUAGCCUUACAAAUUAGACAUGUUUAGUCAAAUCAUCGUCGAGCAUCGAAGUUAAAGGCUUUUGAAGAAAGAUAAUUAUCACUACAAAAAGAAAAUUUCUUCUUUGAAGAAGUCUCUUGAAGCUUUGGAGGCCCAAGCUCGCAAGGAAGAGAUAAAAUUGAUAACCUAUAGUCUAUUUUUGCCCGAGCAUAUAAAGAAGCAGUAGAAUUGUAUAAGGCCUCUAUGGGGUAUGCUAAGGAUCUAGAGGCAUCCGUGAAGCAAUAUAAAUCAUUAUCAAAUUAUGAUAAUGCCUUGCAUUUAUAUGGGAAAAAGGUGAUGGUUGCAUCCAUCAAAUUGUCUAAGAAAUGGAUAUCUCCUAAGCACCCUUCCAUCAAUCCCUUGAACUUCGACAAGUUUCUGGAGCGACGCAAAAGGAAGAGUGAACAGAGCCCAUCUAUCCAAGACAUACGAGCACACAUCGCAACGUGAAAGAGAAAGGACUUUCCACUCACACUGAUGUGGUCUUUAGUUGUAAAUAUUUAGCGCUUGCUGCUAUUAUUUAUUUUUGUCACUUGAUAGUGAAUUGGUUCCUCCUAGUCUAAAAU
rnacentral:lncRNA from 1 species